UUAGUGGCGGAAGGGUUAGUAAUACAUAGAUAAUCUGUCCUCAACUUGGGAAUAACGGUUGGAAACGACCGCUAAUACCGAAUGUGGUAUGUUUAGGCAUCUAAAACAUAUUAAAGAAGGGGAUCUUCGGACCUUUCGGUUAAGGGAGAGUCUAUGGGAUAUCAGCUUGUUGGUGGGGUAAUGGCCUACCAAGGCUUUGACGUCUAGGCGGAUUGAGAGAUUGACCGCCAACACUGGGACUGAGACACUGCCCAGACUUCUACGGAAGGCUGCAGUCGAGAAUCUUUCGCAAUGGACGAAAGUCUGACGAAGCGACGCCGCGUGUGUGAUGAAGGCUCUAGGGUUGUAAAGCACUUUCGCUUGGGAAUAAGAGAGA
rnacentral:rRNA from 1 species